UCUCCGUAGGUGAACCUGCGGAGGGAUCAUUACAGAGUUCUCGCCCUCGCGGGUAGAUCUCCCACCCACUGUUAUCGUUACUGUGUUGCUCUGGCGGGCCGCCGGGCCCCGCUCGGCCGCCUGCUCCGGCUGGCGCGCGCCCGCCAGAGGCCCAGCAAACUCUGAAUGUUAGUGUCGUCUGAGUACUAUAUAAUAGUUAAAACUUUCAACAACGGAUCUCUUGGUUCUG
rnacentral:misc_RNA from 1 species